rnacentral:tRNA from 1 species
GGGCCGCUAGCUCAGUCGGUAGAGCAACGCCCUUUUAAGGCGUGGGUACCGGGUUCGAACCCCGGGCGGCUCA